rnacentral:ribozyme from 1 species
UCUCUGUCUCUGAUUCGGGUUUUGCUAAAACCCAAGGCAUUGGUUCAGUGUGUCGUUGCUCGGGCCUUUCUUACCUAAACGGUUGUUAGACCUGAGUGCUUUGCACUUGAUCCACCCGGAUCAGAAGAAGAUCUUCCAGGGAAACACGCUUAGGAAUUGGUCUAAGUGGCACAUUAACUGGA